rnacentral:rRNA from 1 species
CCAAACUGUUGCCUCGGCGGGAUCUCUGCCCCGGGUGCGUCGCAGCCCCGGACCAAGGCGCCCGCCGGAGGACCAACCAAAACUCUUUUUGUAUACCCCCUCGCGGGUUUUUUAUAAUCUGAGCCUUCUCGGCGCCUCUCGUAGGCGUUUCGAAAAUGAAUCAAAACUUUCAACAACGGAUCUCUUGGUUCUGGCAUCGAUGAAGAACGCAGCGAAAUGCGAUAAGUAAUGUGAAUUGCAGAAUUCAGUGAAUCAUCGAAUCUUUGAACGCACAUUGCGCCCGCCAGUAUUCUGGCGGGCAUGCCUGUCCGAGCGUCAUUUCAACCCUCGAACCCCUCCGGGGGGUCGGCGUUGGGGAUCGGCCCUGCCUCUUGGCGGUGGCCGUCUCCGAAAUACAGUGGCGGUCUCGCCGCAGCCUCUCCUGCGCAGUAGUUUGCACACUCGCAUCGGGAGCGCGGCGCGUCCACAGCCGUUAAACACCCAACUUCUGAAAUGUUGACCUCGGAUCAGGUAGGAAUACCCGCUGAACUUAAGCAUAUCAAUAAGCGGAGGAA